GGUCCUUCCAGUUGUGGCAUGUGGGAUGCUGCCUCAGCAUGGCCUGAUGAGCAGUGCCAUGUCCACGCCCAGGAUCCAAACCGGCAAAACCCUGGGCUGCCAAAGCGGAGCGCUUGAACUUCACCACUCGGCCAUGGGACUGGCCCUCCUCCUUUGGUGCUUUUAACAUCCAAAAAAAUGGGUCUGUUAUGUGUCCAGAGCACAUUAGUGACUUACCGUCUUUUACCAUUCACCAUGUGAAGAGUAAUUUCCUACUGUUCCACUUUCCAAACACUUUGGUCCAGCAAACUAGAAACUGUAUGGGAUGCAUUGUUCACAGAGGAAAACAUGCCAUCCCCGCCUCUGAGCUCUGUUGGUACCAUUCCACCUCCCCUCUCCUCUCCCUCCCAGUCCUCCCCAUCCCACCCAUCCUGGAAGGUAGUCUCCUUCCAAUCCAGUUUCCUAUGUCCUGCUUUCUUUCCAAAUUCACUUGAACAUUGUACUGGUUCUCUGGUAGAUACGAAAAGGAACUGAGUUUGCGAAAGGAUACGAAAGAUACGAAAAGGAACUACACAGAGUUUGCAAUCAAGAAUUGAUGAUUGAAUAAGUACUCAGUGUUAGUUUACUGAUCAAAUAAUCGAAUGAAUAUAUACAUGAAAAAACACAAAGAAUUGUAAUUCAAGAAAGGUAAGUACCCAAAGAAAUUCACAGAUAAUAUGCUAAGAGAACUCAAAGGAUCCUGGAGCAAAAGAUAUCUUCUAGUCCAGCAAGGGGAUCAGGAGAAGGAAGUGGCAUGUGACCUGGGUCCUUAGAAUUCAGUAGGGUUUAGAGACAGAAAGAGAGAACAGUCCUCCAAGCAAAACAAGGACAGAUUGGGAAAGUAUGAGAUAAAUAAAAGGGAAGUAGUAGCUAGAGAGCAGGUGCAUGAGUGGUUAGGAAGAGAGUGGAGGAGGUACGCUGAAGCCAGAUCAGGGAAGAUCUAGAGUGGGUACUAACAUGCUGUGUGAUGCCACAUAAGCCACUGCUGUCCGCCAGGACUCACUGGAAUUGAAGAUAUAACAGAGGGCACCCUCUGAUCCUGUCGCCCUGUGUGGUGAGCACUGGGGGACCUGUCAGCAAUUACGGGCAUGAUGGGGAUGGGACAUGGGACUCAGCAGCAGUAUGAUGAAGCAGAGUAGAAGGAGGCCAGUUUGGGAGACGUUUUCAUAAUCCACAAGCCACCAUUUGUAAUUAAGUGGUUUAUGAUCAUAAGUAAUUAAAAACUUACAAAGCAUACAAAGAAGAAAACUGCAGUUGGAGUGGUUGGUCAUUAGAAUAAAAGGAUAACAGUUAGUUUCCAUAAAAGCUUACCUUAUUGUGAAAUGAAGAACCACUUUAAACUUCCUGGCCUUUAGAGUGGCCCUUUGAUUGCUCAGGCUGCCCUUGUAAUAUUCCAUUUGCUGCUUUGGCCUCUAAAUAAAGUUGGGGCCUUCAUGAAGUGAACACAGAGGGGGCGGGCCCAGGAAGUCAGAGCUGCGGCUCGGGCACACAGGCUGGUCAAGGCCCACAUCUUUGGAUGGUCAGUGAGCAGUGGGGAUGAGGGCACUUGCAGUAGAGUCACGAAAACCUCAUUCCAGGCCUUGCUCUGUCCCUCUUUCUAGCUGUGUGGCCUCAGGCAAAUUAACUCGCCUCUCUGAGCUUCAGUUUCUCUCCUAGGGUUUUUGUGACAGCAUUAGGUGUAUUGAACAGGUGGUUCAAAAAGGCUGCUUCCUUCUCACCUGUCAGAAGCUGACAGGAUUCCAGGCACUGUUUCUUUCAUUUAUUCAUUUAUUCAUUCAACAAAGAUAUUUAUGUGCUGGUAACAUGGUAGUAAACAGCAGAGAAAUAAUCCCUGUGGGCCCUUGUUAGGCUUGUGGUCUAAUGGUGGGGACAGAUACGACACAAAUAAUCACACAAAUAAAUAAGUAAUUACAAAUGUGGUAAGUGCCACAAAGGAAAAUUAAUGCAGAUGGGGAUGAAGGAAAGUGAUGAGAAAGUAAUAAUUCUGAUGAAAUCUAAAAGGACAAACAAGAGCUGGGAAAAACUGGGGGCUGAAGAGAAGAGGGGGGCCCAGGCCAAGGUCAAGGAGAAAAGCCUUCCCCCCCGCCCUCCACAAAUAAGGGCAUUUCAUAACAGAAGGCUCAUAGUUAAGCCACCUGCACUGUGCUUUGUUAAGAAUGACACCAGCCCGGGAAAGUUAACAGGUCCACAAUUGAUGGAGAGGAAACACUUGUUUUUCCAGAGCACUGCAAUUUAGCCUAAUCAGGUUUCAAGAGUUAUUCUCCCUGGCCACAACACUUCAUAUUUGCAGGGUUCUUUGUGGCCAUUUUUGUAAGUAUUUGUAAGUAGGAAUUCUUGAAAGCAGAUCUCAAUGGGGGAAACAGAAGUUGGACACACAGACCUGGGUUCAGGCUUCAGCACCACCAUUUAUGGGCUAUGUGACCCUCGGCAAGUCACUUAACCCUGCUAACUCCACUUCCUCAUCUGCAAAAUCUACUCCACACAGGUGAUUCCAGUGUUAAAACAAGAAAGACAUGUGAGGGGGCUGUGUAAACAUGACUCGUGGCACACAUCUAGUCUUUUCUCUUAUAUCCUGCUGUGUCCCCAGCUUGCAUUCGGGCAUAGAAGAGGAGAGAAAGGGAGAUGUCGAGGAUGAUCUCAAGGUUUCGCUAGGCUUCAAUAAUGAAGUAACAAAGAUCGACUAUUGCAUCUAAAUGCUGUAAAUUUAUUUUAAGGUAGAUAAAAAAGGAUGAGUCAAAAAAAAAAAAAAGCAAGUGGUAGGAUGGUCCUUUGUGAUUCUUUUUCACUUUUCCAGAAAAAAAGAGGAAGGAAAUAUAUUGUGACAAACACCAGAAGCUGAAUGCCAGUGACCAGUCUUCACAUCUUUCCAUUUCUUGUUGAGAUUCUCACUGACAGUGUUUAAACAGGGCUGGGCUGUUUACACACAAUCGUUGUUCGCAGUGGCCCAGCAGAACCUGUAAGGGACAUAUAUCACACAUCACCCCAAUGCAGAGGAGGUGUGAGCCACAAGUCUGAAGGACAAGGGCAAACCCUGCUUUCAUCUGCUCCACCGCAACCCUCAAAGAAGUGCUGAGACUUCACAGCCAGAGUGGAGAGCUGAGAGCUAGGAGGAGCUCAGCAGAGUGGAGAUGCUCUGGAAGCUGGACACCGGCAUCGUAACUUUCUGUUGUCGGAAGUGGUGCGAAUUCCCAGAGCAUUGGAGGUGUCAGCCCUCAAAAAUACUCUACACUCUCAUUCCAAGACAACAUGAAAUUGACUUAGGGAUGAGUACAGCAACGCUCCCUCCCAAUGCCUCAAAGAAUAAGAGCCUGCUCUAAAGGCUUACUCUCUGGUAGCAUCCUUUAGUGCAAUUCACAGUGGUCCUUAGUGGAACUCUUUAUUCAUCAAAAAAAAAAAACAGGUUGAAUGCCUACCAUGCAUCACAGUCUGGGAAACUCGGAGAUAGGGAGGAAAGGUCAUUUGACUUCAUGAUUUGGGGAGGAAAAUGAUAUGUAUACGCAAGACCUGGCAAGGAGUAAGUGCUCAGCUUAUUUAAUGCCUGAAAGAAGGGUUGAAUGAAUGAAUGAACAUAAGGUCAUAAAUGCAAGCAAGCCCCACGGUACAGAAAAGAGCCCAGAAUUUGGAGUGUAAAGGUAAAGUUGACAUCCCAGCUAGCCCACUUUCCAGCUGGGUAUUAGGCUGGAUACUUCUGCUUGUUCCAAAUUCAUUGUCCACCCUGCUUUGUGCCCCAAGGGCUGACCUCCAUGGACUGCCUCCCCUGGGCUCCCUUGCUGCCUGUUUUCUGGCUGGGCUCCCUUGCCAUCUGUCUUCUGGCUGGGCUCAGCCAAAGGGAGUCCCUGGAAAGAGAUUGGGAGAGAGCAGUGUUUCUUCCCCUCUGCCCUGGCUUGUCUUCUAGCAGCAGCUGUGCACCCAACAUCUACAGCUCCCCACUUACUUCAUUCCAUUCUCCCUGGGCUGCAGGAACAUGGCGUCCUCCCCUUGCCCUUGUGGUCUUAGCUUCUCCUAUUGCUGAUGUCUGGGUGCCUCAAUAUGCUUUGUUUUCCUUUAAUCCUGUCUACACCUCUGGAAAGAGUUCCUUCAUGGAAACCACCUGAAUCAAUUCUGUUUUCUGUUGAGACCCAACUCAUUCAGUAAAUUAGAGCAAGUUACGAAACUUCUCAGUGUCAUGUUCUUCCAUAUGAAAUGGAAAUAAUAACAAUACUUAGUAUCUAGCACCAUGCUUAAACAUGGGCCCUCAAUAAACAUUGGCUGCUUGAAUAAAUGAAUGAAUGGGUGGAUAGAUGGGUGAAUGGAUGGGGAGAUGGAUGGAUGGAAGGAUGAAUGGAUGGAUAAAUAGAUGAGUUGAUGGGUGGAUGGAUAGGUGGGUGGGUGGGUGAAUACCUAUGUGGAUUAAUGACAAGAUGUUAAUGUAUUAAGUAUGAGAAUAUUGGUUACUAUAAGUCUCAUUAAAUGGCAAGUGAAUGUAACAGAUAGUAUUAACUAUCUUGAUAUCAUAAAAUGGGCAUGGGUCAAGAAUCAGGAAAACUGAGUCUCAAUUUUUCCAUUUGUUAACUGUGUGAUUGCAGGUAAGUUAUUUUCCCAUUCUGUGUCUCUCUUUCCUCUCCUAAAAAACAAAAGAGUUGGAGUUAAUAAACUCUAAGGGGCCAUCCAGCUUGGACACCCUAUCAAGUCCUAAGCAUUCCAGGGGAACAUAGAACAAUCUGAAUUGGAGAAGUUAGGGGAGUGCUCAGGGCAGAGGCAGGGACAUAAACAAUAUACUAAGAACUAGAACAGCAGAAGGACAUUCCAAUGAGCAAGACUGGAGGGGAUUAAGGAUGGGGAGAGGUCAGUAAAUUCUGGUGACCAAGAAUAAACAUCUGGUUGGAACAGAAGUUGCCCACGGGGAUUUAAGGGGCCUUGAACAUAAGGCUGAGGAACUAACUCUGUAAAAGGGAAGGAAUUUGACUUCCUCAAGGCCCCGGAAACCAGUGGAGAACUAGAAUUCUAGUUUCCUCUGCUCAACCCUCUGAAUUGCCAUCAGGUUCCCUGUCUUCAUCUCCUGAUGGCAGCUGCCUUCUCCCUUUUGUGAUUCCUUUCUUUGAAGGUCACUUGUCAAAUUAGGGAUCAGGGAAAAUUUAUUGGGUGAGGAAACCAUUUGGUAAGGGAUAUUUUUGGCACUGUUCAAAUCUUGGCAAAGGACUCGUUCCUGUCAUUCUCCUACUAGCAUUUUAAAAUCUGUUGGUUUGCAGGAAAGUCAAAGGCAAGAUAAUCAAAAGAAAGUGAUUUUUUUAGUUAUUAAAAAAAUAUGAAUCCAGAAAAAAUUUUUAAUGGGCCUUGAACAAGAAUACUGCUCUGUAGGAUCUAGGCAUUAAGUCAAAAGCACUUGAAUAAAAUUAUAAAAAUUAAGAAUAAGAAUAAUAAUGCAAAACUGCUGUCAGAUACCUGGAGUUUUUUGACAAAUGUGGCCAGCUGUAUGAUUUAGUUCCUUCCCUUCUCUGGCCUCAGUUUCCCCAUAUGUCAAAGAAGUUAGACCCAAUGGUGGGCUCUAGAAGUUUCUCCUGCCCUGGCAGUGCCUACAGCUCCCACACUGCAGAUCUCCUUUCCCUCUCUUGAGCACAGCAUUCCUGGGAGGGCACAAGAGAACUUGCACCACUUUAGUUUCGGCUUGCCUGACCUCUGUCCCCUGUGUGGCCUCUCUGAGUGCAGGAGCUGGAGAACGAAUGCAGCUGCUCAGCACUGGCUCUCUGUGUGGCUUUGGCCAGAGAUGAAAAGGAGUCAGCGCCAGCCUGCAGUCAAGCAGGGUUUCACUGAAGGAGUCAUCUAGACAUGUGCCAGCCUCCUGGCCACUGCUGGGGGCAGGACUCACCACCUCCAGGGGAUGCUCACUAGGGUGGCCCCUGACCACUCGUCCACACCCCACAGGGCCUGCACGGUGGCCAUUCCAAAAUGCUCCUUUGUUUUUGGUGUUAUUCUCUAGCCCAAAAACGUUGGUGACACCCCCUUGUUGAGCUACAGCAGUGUGUCCCCAAGAGACACCUGUCCUGUGAGAUGCUCCUCAGAAACCCAGGCUGUAUCACUUGAGUUUGGAGCAUGCAGCCUUCUCUAUCCCACUCCCCCUUGCAGAGUUCCAGUGCUCCAAGAAGUCCUGGAGGAAAGAGGCGCACUCAGGCUCAUCGAACCCAGUAUAUUUCAAAAAUAACGUUUGACCAAAGGACUUUUCCUUAAUAACUCUGAGCAACGUCCCUCAGAACCGCACCUCCAAGCAAUAUGCUUUGGGAAACACUGCUCUGUGGAUAAAAACGCAAACUUCCUAGUGUUCAGCUAAAGCUCCCCUCAUUCUGGUCCCUGACAACUCUCAGCCUGACUUCCCACUACUCCUCUGUAUGCCCCGAAGUCCAGAGCCAUUGAAUUAUUGCUGAUAUUAAUGAUUUGUGUGUGUGAAUGUUGCAAAAAUAUAAACUUGGAAAAAGAAGAAAAGCAGGGUCUUAAGCAAGAAUAUUACCUGAAGGAUCCUAGAUUCCAGUUCAAAAGCACUUGAAAAGUUAAAUUAUACUAAUCAUCCUUUCAUUUUUUUGUCAAUAAACUAUGCAUUUUCCUCCCUCCAGGCCUUUGUUCAUGCUGUCCCCGCAGUCUGGAAAAUCUUCCCCCUUUAUUUAUCUAUGAAAAGCCUAUGAAUGCAUCUUUCAAAGCUUUAUUCAAAUGCCACCUCUUCUGUGGACUCUCCCCAAAUUCCAUACUAAGAAUUUAUUACUCAUUGCUCUGUAUUCGAACAACACUUUUCACGAAUUUCUGUUAAAGUACUUUUCUUGAUAAUUAUGUCUAAUAGCUGUCAUUUAUUGGCAUCCCUCUGUGUCAGCAUUGUGUGC
rnacentral:lncRNA from 1 species